AAUUUUAUCCAGGUAAAUCAUAUUCAAGGCCUGAGUUAAGUUCCAAUAACUUCAGUAAUUUUCUCAAAGAAAACUGAAAAGGAUGGUAGGAGAAUUGUUUUAAAUGUGCCAAGGGAAUGUGUGAUAUUACUAAAGAGAACAAUUUGGGAAUUUUAAAAAACCUGAAAUAAUUACAGCAUUAAAGGACAUUUACUUCAAAUGUCCCCAAAACUCUUGUGAAGGACUUCUGUCUUAACUCUACCGUAAUUGCCAUUCCAUCAUAAUCUUCCCAAAAUUACAUGAAACCGUUUUUGGCAUUUCCCGCCACAGGGAAACAUACAGAUAACUUCUUUCUUAGGCGUAGAAGACAUUCUAAAGAACAUCUAUGACACAACUAGGGAUUACAAUGAAUCUUAACUCUUAGUUCUGAAGGUAAAAUAUAAUUGUCAGAUGGUGUCAGGGAGAAAAGCUUCCUUCUCAUAAGAAUGUCCCUACAUUAUGAAUGAAACUGCAUUUCUGUGCAUGUGGGAGCAACGCUAACUUUUCUCUAAACAUUCAACAUUAAAAUGUUCUGACAAAGAAAUGGUGAAAUGAGUUCAAUGAUAGGGGUCAUACCUCUAAAGUUUCUAGAAAUUCCUUAACAAAGUCUUAACACUAAACACUGAGCUAUUACCUCUAACUCUUAACACAUUCGAGCAGCUGCUUAGCUGAUUUCACAGAGGGGUGACAAGGGAAGACAACAGACACUUCAAAAGUUAAGGAGAGGAUGGCAGGAGCUCUUUUGCCAUGGCUGCCAGGCCAAUCUCCGAGUAGAACCAGGAUGCCACUGUGUACGUGGGGGGCCUGGAUCAGAAGGUUAGUGAACCUCUGCUGUGGGAACUGUUUCUCCAGACUGGACCAGUAGUCAACACCACAUGCCAAAGGAUAGAGUCUGUCCAGCACCAAGGCUAUGACUUUGUGAAUUCUUGAGUGAGGAUGAUGCUGACUAUGCCAUUAAGAUCAUGAACAUGAUCAAACUCUAUGGGAAGCCGAUACAGGUGAACAAGACAUCAGUUCACAACAAAAACAUGGAUGUAGGGACCAACAUUUUCAUUCGGAACCUGGACCCUGAGAUUGAUGAUGAGAAGUCGUAUGAUACUUUCAGCACCUUUGGGGUCAUCUUACAAACCCCUAAGAUUAUGUGGGACCCUGACACAGGCAACUCCAAAGCUUAUGCCUUCAUUAAUUUUACUUCAUUUGAUGCUUUGGAUGCAGCAAUUGAAGCCAUGAAUGGGCAGUACCUCUGUAACUGCCCUAUCACCAUAUCUUAUGCCUUCAGGAAGGACUCCAAGGGUGAGCGCCAUGGCUUAGCAGCUGGACGACUUCUGGCAGCUCAGAACCUGCUCUCCCAGCCUGACCGCCCUCGUCAGCUGUUUGCAGAUGCACCUCCUCCACCCUCUGCCCCCAAUCCUGUGGUAUUAUCAUUGGGGUCUGGACUUCCUCCACCAGGCAUGCCUCCUCUUGACUCCUUCCCACUCCCAGUGCUGCCUCCUGGAGCCCUCCCACCUGGGAUACCCCCCACCAUGCCCUACCACCUAUGCCUCCUGGGGCUGCAGGACAUGGUCCCCCAUCAGCAGGAACCCCAGAGGCAGGAUAUCCUGAUUAUGGACACUCACGAGCUCACCCAUUCCCACCAGGAGGGGUGCCCUAUCCAGGGAUGUCUCAGAUGCAGCUGGCACACCAUGGAUCUCAUGGCUUAGGACAUCCCUAUUCUGGACCCCCAGGCUCUGGGGAGCAGCCACCACCCCAACCACCACCUGGAAUGCCUCAUCCUGGACCUCCUCCAAUUGGCAUGCCCCCCAGGGGUCUCCAUUCGGAUCUACCAUGGGUCACCCAGGUCCCAUGCUUCCACAUGGUAUGCAUGGACCUCCUCCACUGAUGCCCCCCUCAUGUGUACACUGGCCCUGCACGACCCACACCCUAUGGCUACCAGCCUCUCCCUUCACCCAGACCCACUCCCCAGCCACCAGUUGCCCCUUGAGACCUGCUUUGGAGCCCUCUCCCUCAGUAAAUUCACAUUUUUCUUCCUCCUGUUACAUCUUCCCAAUAUCUUUUUGAUUCCUUGGAACAAUUAGAGAUGCUGUAGCUCCUUGGGGCUAAGGCACUAAUCCCUUUCAGCACCCCCACCCCAUUCCCCUUUUUAAUGUAACUUUUUCCACAGGAGGUAUUUCUUUUUUAUGUUGGUCCUGAGUAUUUUGCAAAUGCACAGAGAAAAUAAAACUAAACUCCUUGUUCUAAAAAAAAAAAAA